CUAACUACGUUCCAGCAGCCGCGGUAAUACGUAGGGGGCAAGCGUUAUCCGGAUUUAUUGGGUGUAAAGGGAGCGUAGACGGCAGAGCAAGUCUGAAGUGAAAGCCCGCGGCCCAACUGCGGGACUGCUUUGGAAACUGCCCGGCUAGAGUGCUGGAGAGGUAAGCGGAAUUCCUAGUGUAGCGGUGAAAUGCGUAGAUAUUAGGAGGAACACCAGUGGCGAAGGCGGCUUACUGGACAGUAACUGACGUUGAGGCUCGAAAGCGUGGGGAGCAAACAGG
rnacentral:rRNA from 1 species